rnacentral:rRNA from 1 species
UACGUAGGGUGCGAGCGUUGUCCGGAAUUAUUGGGCGUAAAGAGCUCGUAGGCGGUUUGUCGCGUCGGCCGUGAAAACUUGGGGCUUAACCCCAAGCCUGCGGUCGAUACGGGCAGACUUGAGUUCGGCAGGGGAGACUGGAAUUCCUGGUGUAGCGGUGAAAUGCGCAGAUAUCAGGAGGAACACCGAUGGCGAAGGCAGUGUUCUGGGCCAGUACUGACGCUGAGGAGCGAAAGCGUGGGGAGCAAACAGG